AAAUAAAGCAGCAAUUAAUUUUUAAACUAUUAAUAUACUGAGGCGCUGAUAAGGUUUUAUGAUCAAAUGUAUCGUUUUGGUUUUUAUAGCCUUUACAAAUUUUUGAAAAAUUACAUUUAUUUAAGGACAAAUUUUAUUAUUGUCGAAUUCCUUCGACUCGGAUUCCAUUAACUCGAAACUUCCCCUGAAUCUUAACCCCUACGAGCUACGCUGUCUCCCACCCGAUGCCAUACAUUUGUAUGUGUCUGUGUGUACAAGCGCAUGGGUUGUCGCUUAAUAUUGAAGGAGAAAGGACAUUCGAUGUCGAAAUCUUCAGGAAAUUUCCAGUCCGUAGACUAACUGUCCGAGUUAAUGGAAUCCUGCUGUAAAAAUUGAACUUUUUACGAAAAGAACAUUUUGGUAACCGUUCCUCGUACGUUUAUGAAAUAUCAACCCAUAAAUUGGAGGAUAUUAAUAAUAAUAAUUUUAACAUCCAAUGGCAUCCCUAUUCAAAAGUUUCCAUAGAAUCCAUUCAAAUGGGUCAAAAAUUCCAUAGAAAUCAAUAGACGCAUUGGUUUCUAUGCGGUUUAAACACCGUAUUUACUAGAUGUAUACUGCAGUAUUUGAAAAAUUGAAACUUAUGUGAAGUAAAUCAAUAUAGCAGCAAACAUAGCGUGUAACACGAGCAUAUCACACGGAGAGAAAAAUGUUGUCAGAAUGACUACGCUAAUUAAGAAAAAUUAUUUGAAAUGAUUCAAAACAAU